GAUGAACGCUGACAGAAUGCUUAACACAUGCAAGUCAACUUGAACUUCGGUUUGGGUGGCGGACGGGUGAGUAACGCGUAAAGAACUUGCCUCACAGCUAGGGACAACAUUUGGAAACGAAUGCUAAUACCUGAUAUUAUGAUUAUAUGGCAUCGUAUAAUUAUGAAAGCUAUAUGCGCUGUGAGAGAGCUUUGCGUCCCAUUAGCUAGUUGGAGAGGUAACAGCUCACCAAGGCGAUGAUGGGUAGCCGGCCUGAGAGGGUGAUCGGCCACAAGGGGACUGAGACACGGCCCUUACUCCUACGGGAGGCAGCAGUGGGGAAUGUUGGACAAUGGACCGAGAGUCUGAUCCAGCAAUUCUGUGUGCACGAUGAAGUUUUUCGGAAUGUAAAGUGCUUUCAGUUGGGAAGAAAAAAAUGACGGUACCAACAGAAGAAGUGACGGCUAAAUACGUG
rnacentral:rRNA from 1 species